AUAUGGAGGAUGCAAGCGUUAUCCGGAUUUAUUGGGUUUAAAGGGUGCGUAGGCUGUUCGGAAAGUCAGGGGUGAAAGCCCGGCGCCUAACGCCGGAACUGCCUUUGAUACUUCCGAGCUGGAAUACGGAUGCCGUGGGAGGAAUGAGUAGUGUAGCGGUGAAAUGCAUAGAUAUUACUCAGAACACCGAUUGCGAAGGCAUCUCACGAAACCGUCAUUGACGCUGAGGCACGAAAGCUUGGGGAUCAAACAGGAUUAGAUACCCUGGUAGUCCACGCCGUAAACGAUGGGCGCUCGUCGUCGGCGGCAGACAGUCGGCGGCCAAGCGAAAGCGAUAAGCGCCCCACCUGGGGAGUACGGUCGCAAGGCUGAAACUCAAAUGAAUUGGCGGGG
rnacentral:rRNA from 1 species